CGGCAACAGCUCAAAUUUGAAAUCUGGCGUCUUCGACGUCCGAGUUGUAAUUUGCAGAGGGCGCUUUGGCAUUGGCAGCGGUCCAAGUUCCUUGGAACAGGACGUCACAGAGGGUGAGAGCCCCGU
rnacentral:rRNA from 1 species